AGAUUGAACGCUAGCGGGAUGCUUUACACAUGCAAGUCGAACGGCAGCGCGGACUUCGGUCUGGCGGCGAGUGGCGAACGGGUGAGUAAUAUAUCGGAACGUGCCCAGUAGCGGGGGAUAACUACGCGAAAGCGUGGCUAAUACCGCAUACGCCCUAACGGGGGAAGGGGGGAUCGCAAGACCUCUCACUAUUGGAGCGGCCGAUAUCAGAUUAGCUAGUUGGUGAGGUAAAGGCUCACCAAGGCGACGAUCUGUAGCUGGUUUGAGAGGACGACCAGCCACACUGGGACUGAGACACGGACCCAAGACCUCCGUACGGGAGGCAGCGAGGUGGGAAGUUUUGGACAAAGUACGGGGGAAACCCUGAUACCGAAGCCAAUCCCGGCGUGUCGCGAGUAGAACGG
rnacentral:rRNA from 1 species